UACGUAGGUGGCAAACGUUAUCCGGAAUCACUGGGCGUAAAGGGUCUGUAGGCGGUCUUACAGGUCUGGCGUGACAAUUCUCGGCUUAACUGAGAGAGUGCGCUGGAAACCGGAAGACUGGAAUCACGUCGAGGUCGGUGGAAUUCCCGGUGUAGUGGUGGAAUGCGUAGAGAUCGGGAGGAACCCCUAAAGCGAAGGCAGCCGGCUAGACGAUGAUUGACGCUGAGGGACGAUAGCGUGGGGAGCGAACAGG
rnacentral:rRNA from 1 species